rnacentral:lncRNA from 1 species
UUUUUUUUUUUUUUUUUUAUUUUAUAAAUCUUAUUGUAUUAGGAGGAGAAGUCUUCGGGAAAGGGACGGUGGGAGGAGAGGGACGCCUCCUGCUGCUGAUUCUGUGAUGUUCCUGUCUGCUGCUACUGUUCCUUGACAGAGAUGAUGUUGAACAACACUCUAGGAAGAAAUUUAAACUCCUCCCAGUAGCCAUCAGACCAAAACCAAGUAAUUUUGCAUUAUCUUGAAUUAACAUAAUACGUCGACACGUAAAUUUCAAUUGUCUGGUCAAUGGAAUUGAAUACCACCUCCGCUUUAGCAUGCACAUCCCAACAAUGCAUUAGAUUCACAUAGAAUUACCUUCUCUUUGCUUGGGCCUGGAUGGCAAAUUGAGUCUUAACCUGUUACUUCUUUCCCUAGAAAUGUUCUCAUCUUUCUCCUCUCUUCCUUUUUUUACCCUGUUUUUUUUUUUUCCUUUUGGUGUAAAGGUUUUAGUUUUGAAAUUACCAAAUAUCCCAUCUCUAUUACCAGACACAGAGAGAGAAAUGAACGCCUUCCUUUACUUGUACAAACAAAGCCUGCUCAAAAUUUUAAUAUGUUUAAAAAUUGAACGAGUAACGUUGUAGUAAAUUACUGCACAAAAUUACACUGCAUGUAAAUAAUUAGUCCACUUACAUUAUAAAGGGGUAAAAAGAAACAGAAAAUCCCUCUCUCUAACUUUUUUUUCCCUUUCCUUAAUCGUUAGUAUAAUACACAAUACAAAAUUUUAAUCGCCAAAAAUUUUUCCCUAGGACUAAAAGCGGUUGCCUGUUGGCUGAGAUAGAAGAAACCAUGUCAAAAAAUGCCUAAACAUCACAACUCAAUCGUAGAACUGAGGGAUGAAACGUGCUGGCCCUUUUGGCCAGCGGACAAAACCAUUCUUCCUCCACUAUCUUCUACUGUUGGGGGCUUUGGCCUUGUUUAGAUUGGCAAGUUCUUCAAUUAGCUUCCUCUCUUCUCCGCUCAGCCGCUUCGGAAUCUCAACUUGCACCCUGACAAGCUGAUCACCCCUCAUGUUGCUUUUGUUUAAGAAAGGCACACCCUUUUUCGCCAUUACCAAGGUUGUCCCUGGCUGAGUUCCAGAUGGAACCUUAAGAUCAACCAUUCCAUCUACAGUAGGGACCUUGAGAGUCGUCCCCAGAAUAGCAUCAAUGUAGGUCACCUUGCAAGUGUAGAGAAUAUUUGUAUCAUCGCGCUUCAGUACAGGAUCUGGACGAACUUCUAUAAUAACAAAAAGAUCCCCAGGGGGUCCCCCUCUCCUUCCAGCGUUACCUUCUGAUCGAACCCGUAACCGGCUCCCAGAAUCAACCCCAGCAGGGACUUUCAAGCUAAUCCGCUUCGACUUCCUCACACGACCAUCACCGCCACAUGUGUUGCAUGGCGUGGAGGUCUCUCCAGCACCACCACAAGCAGAGCAUGGCAUUAUUUGCUGGAACACACCAAGCGGGGUCCUUGCAGAUGAGACAACCUGUCCUUGGCCCCCGCAUGCACUACAUUUAGCAGUUCUGGUCCCUGGUUUUGCACCUGACCCAUCGCAGGUGCCACAGUUCUCAAGCCGCAUUAUUUCAAUCUCCUUUUCAACCCCAAAGAUGGCUUCUUUGAAAUCUAAAACUAGAUUGUACACCUGGUCUUCGCCUUCAGUGGCCCGGUUCCUAGAGCCUCUGGCACCCAUACCCAUACCACCGAGGCCAUCAAACAAGGACUCAAAUAGAUCAAAGGGGUUGCUGAAAUCCUACCAUAGUGAACCAAAAAGAUGUCAAGAUAUGAGUAGUCAAUACACAGGAGCCUCUCAAAGAAAGAGGAUGGUUACUGUUUCCUCAGAGUAAAAGAAACUCACCCCCAUGCCCAUAGAACCUUUAAGCCCUGCCUCCCCAUACCUGUCGUAAAUGGAACGUUUCUCAUCAUCUGACAAAACCUGUCGCAAAGAGGUUACUUUUCAACUUGGCAAUUGCAAACAAAUUUUCCUUGACUACAUUAUUGAUGGGCUAUCAACUCAACCUUAACAGUUACGAUGAUCAUGACAUACCUCAUAAGCAUUGCUGAUCUCUUUGAAUUUCUGUUCUGCUCCAGGUUCUCUGCAAGCAAGUAAUUAGGCUUCAUUGAACAUUUAAAAAAACGUAUAAUAUACAUCCUUAAAUAAGUGCACAACUUAUAUGGAACAGAGUUCAAGGCUCGAAAAUUUGGUGGCAUAAAGAAAAAGUUAUAAGAACAGAACCAAUUUAACGACUCUGGGUCACGUGCUAUCAAAUACCCAUUUCAACGACAUUGAGGCUACCAAAGUAAAUUCAUUUUCUUAAAAAGAAAAAAAAAAGAAAAACUAUAGCAAAACAAAGUUUAGGCAACCUUAAAGAACAUUGAGCUAUAUUUCAUAUCAAACUGGGUUCAAAGCAUGAAGAAGUUCUCCACCCAGUGAAACUAUAUCUAUAACUUGCCAAUGUGAUCUAAAGGUUUGGCUGUAACUCACAGUUGAAACCAUUUUGCUAGAACACCAAAUAUUCUAACUCUGACUUAAAGGAGAGAUGUACUUACAAAGUUUAUCUGAAAAUUAGAAACUGUAGGUUUGUCUAGCUAAUGGUAACCAUCUUACACGUGGCAAAGCAGAAAAUGGCAAUGCUACGAAAAGGAAUAUAAGAAAAAGAAAGGGCACAAUAGAAUUACGUAUUUAGCUUCAAUUGUGUGGAAUCAUCUACCUAAUACGACAGCCAGCUUCAAGCUUUCUGAUAGAUUAUUUUGAUAGACCAAAUGGAAAGAAAUCAAACCCUCAACCCUGAUAUGAGAAAUGCACUGUAGCAAAUAGCUGGAACUAAGUACUGCCUCAGUCUUUCAUAUGUGGCUAUGUAUCCUCAAAUCAGUGUUACAUACUAAUCGAUUUCAAGUUUCAAUAACACUCCCCUCCAGAAGACUAAAGAGAAUCAGAAUAAGGGAAAAAAGAACUAACAAUUAAAGAAGAAAAAUUUUAGCAUGGUCACUUGGUCACCAAGUCGGUGUAAGCAACUAUCAGAACUUCUUAUUGGACAUCACUGUCAGUCCCUUCCUUCUAAAUCUAGGACUUUUGACGUAAAGGCCUUGCAUUAUAUGCUGUCAAUAGCUGCUCACCACUUAUUCAUCGACACAAAUAAAAAUUUGUCAGAUCAUAUCCCUUUAAGAACAACUAACAUAUGGCUCAUCUGCGGUAGGUCAGAUGGAGAGAGAAUAUAACAUGUGGUCACUUUUUCAUUGAGUUUGCGUGAGCAACUAACCACACCAUCUUAUUGGACAUCAUUGCAAGACCAUUCUUUCUGAAGUAGGACCUGUGAUGCAAAUGCCUUGCACUAGAUGUUGUCAACAGCUGCUCCCACUUGCUCAUUGACACACAUAUAUUUAUCGGAUCAAAUCCCUCUAAGAAUGAGUAAAAUAUGGCUAGUUUAAGGUAGGUCUGAUAUGGAGAAAAAAUAUUAUAUUGUUGAGUUGGAUGCCCACUAGAAGAUUCAAAUGUUUCAGGUCCUAGUGCAUCUUAUACCAAAGAUGGCUUCCAAAAAGGCUCAUUACCAAUAAGAUUUAGAAUAUAGCAUAUGGUUGAGCAAAAAACGGUGAGUCAUAAUUCAUGACCAUGAAUAGAACGUUCAGAACUAGAAAGUAGCUUUAGAAAUUAGUCAAACCAACAUUGACAACUCUUAUUUCCCAUGCAAACUUAAAACACUUCCCAAGAAAUUGGUCAAGAAGGUGGUGUGUCCCAUGAGAAAGCAAUCUGGACUAUAUGCUUGAGAAACUUGAAUAAAAUUCAAGAAAUAUGCGAGGAAGGUCCAGCUUUCAUGAGCAGAAACAUUUUCAGCUGUAACUAUGAGAUACAGCCCAGCUAUUCCUUAACAAAGUAACUCCUAGUUAUGAUUUAAGGACAUAAAACUAGAGCAGCCAAGAUUGGAGAAGCAGACAGUUCCUUGAUAAGAUAUAGUGCAAGCACAUUCAAUUGAAUUACAUCGUCUACUUAUAUGUUUCAAAUGACCCCUCUCAUUAUACAUGUUCACCUAUUAACUUCUUCCAGUUCAAGGUUUAUCAUACGGUAAUCAAUUUGUACCAUGGAAAGACCAAACAGAUCGUCAAACAAAAAGCAUUGAUUAAUACAGAAGACUAGGGAUGCAUAUUAACAAAAGGACCUCAAGCAAAUUAUUGAAGUUUGAAGGUGAAACUUACUUGUUCACAUCCGGAUGGUAACUUCUGGCAAGCUUCCUAUAUGCUGAACAUGAAAGUAUUAACAAUCAACAUCAUAACAACUCAAAAAAGAUCAGACUGAAGGUGCACUUUCAUGCAGAAUGAUGAUAUAAAGUAUGUUUAUGCUUCAGGCAAAGAACAGAUACACCAAUACAAACAGAAGGAAGAGAAAACAAAAGAUAAUACAAGUAUAAAAUUGUGGAAAAGCUUUUAUAAAAUGUCCAACAUUUUUCCCACAGCAAAAUUCAUCAGGUAAUUAACAAGUAGCUGAAGAUAAAAAAAUGAAAUUCAAGGAGACAAUGACAACAGUCAAGACUACAUAAUAUCUGAACUUUCAAAUAAUAGAAAAACAGUUGUCAAUUAUCUGCAGGGUAUUGGAAAGAAACUAUCCCAGAAUUAAGCUACAAACAUUCUCCCAAAGACUAAAUCUUCAGAAUACUUUUUGCAAUGGUGUCCAAAUGUGUAAUUAGAAGCUCUUAAGUACGUUAAACAGAUACCAUAACCAUUUUCCUCUACUCUCGAUACAGAAAAUAGAAAUGUAAUUGCUGCACUCCGAAUUAUGUAAUAGUAAGGUUUACCAGACAUGCAAUGAUAUAAGUUCCUAAACCCAGAAAGUUCAGGCAAAAGCUAACAAAGUAAGGUGCUCAGUUCAAGUGACAUAAAAAAUGCCAACUACUAGAACAUUUAAAAGCAGCAUGAUAUGGUGAGAAGAGUCAGGUUAUACUAACCACUUUUGAUUUCUGAUUUGCUGGCAUUUUUUGACACACCGAGGACAGAAUAAUAAUCCUGCCCACAAGAGAUAAUGGUAUGUUCAUCACAUGCCACCCAAAAUAAGAUACUGAAAUCAAGAAACUUAAAAUUUGUUACAGGUGAAUCAAUUAGGACAAGGCAAUCAAUUUAAUUGUCUUACUUGUUGAGCUCUAACUGCAAAUCGAGCUCCCCUUUUCUGACGUGAAUCCUUGCACAACCCUGAGUUGAAAAGUACAUGCAAUGGACGUUGAGAAAAAAAGGUUGAACUUGGUGAUGCCAAUACUUUACUCCGGCUUGCAACACUGCAGCACAGAAUUGAAAACAUAAAAAGUAUGUAUAAGAUCUGCAUGUGCAAUAUCUGUUUGGUGAGAAGACAGCCAAUGUCAUACUGUAAUUGGCAUCCCACAAGUCACCAGCAAUAUAAUAUAAGUGCAAAGUUUGCUCUAGCCAGUUAAAAGGACUCAUAUGCAGACUUUACAAAAAAGUACAUUGGUGGUGUGAACAUCUGUUCAAUUAUGGCACUUUCAAAGAUACUUUUUGGUUGAGUAACAUUCUGUUACUUGGUGACCAAGAAUUGGUAGUCAGUACCCCUACGACAGAUCCUUCUUACCAAUCUUCUAAGUGAACAAACUACAACUGUCACAAUCCACUUGGGUACUAGUAUUCCUGUAACCAAUGUAUGAGCCCUGAUAUUCAUCUGACCCACAUGUCCAUUCUAGCUCUUUGUACACUGUACACUGACCUGACAAUGUAUAUUCUCCGCAAGAUGAGGAUAAUUCAAAAAGUGGAGUGAACUUAACCAGAUUUUGUGCUAGCAAAGAAUAGGGUUUGCAUGAGGUCGAAACAUGUAUGAUAUUAACACUCCCUCUGAAAAUUUCCCAGAGGCAGCCAUGUUUUUCAGCUAUUAUCCUAUCUUAUUUUAAGCACUGUGUAAGUGAGUGAGACUCUAAACAUGUUGGAAGAUGGUUUUCUUUUGUUAAUCAAUCAGGGGUUCGAGAGGUAGACACGGACCAAGGCUUGUUAUGCAGAGUUCCACCAAGUCAGGUCACAGUCUUUUCAUCUUUUCAAGAUCCAAAACCUCACAUAGAUCCCAGCAUAAACAUUAGAUGAUUAAGCUAAUUUUUCAGAUGAUAAACAGUUCUGUUGUCAGGAAUUCAGACAAAUCAUUAUCGUAGAAUCAGAUUAGCAAUGAUAUAGAGUUUUAUAUCUUCCUAUUAAAGUUGUAAAGUUGUACAAUUAAAAAACAAGGAACAACCAUUAUAUGUUUCAAGAUUGUGGCUAAAAGAAUUAUAUCUUGAUAUUCGUACAAAAAGAAAGUAAAUAUAUGAUCAGAAGAUUGAUUGAAAGCGCAUUAUAUAGUUCCAGGAAUUCAAGUGUGGCGUAGUUUACUGGAGUUAUAGGUGCACUUAAAAGAAAAAUGGACUAGCCCCUCCAACUUAGAUUGCUAGCACAUUGCACAAAACACAGAAAAAUGGCUCACCAAUCUGGAGGCAAAGAUAGUUUGUUUGUAACAGUGAAUCGAGCAACUAUUUGAGGCUGAACUCCACACCGAGCCAUCCAUGUACUUCCACAAGGUACGAUAGCCAUUUAUUCUCCUGCUACCAAGGCCAAAAACAAUCGUCAACUUAAGCAUUUACAAUGCGGUGCAAGAUUUAAAAAAAAAAAAAAACUGCAAGACAGCACAAGAAAUUACUGUCCAUUAAAACCUUUUCAAGCACAACACAACUGCAAGACAACAUAAGAAACUACUCUUCAGUAAAGCCUUAUUGAAUACCCACUAUGACAAAGGCAAUUGGAUACUCCGGCAACAAAAGGAGGUAGGUAAUCUACAUUAGCUCAAGAAAAAUUCUAAUUUGAAAUCCAAAAAUGGCAUUUUCAAGUGGAUAAAGGGUGGGGAGGGGGGAGUCUUUCAAUAUAACAUUCAUAUCGUAUUGUAUUGUGUUUUUCUUUCCUCUUGCUCCUUUUUUUUUUUUUGGCAUCCUGCUGACACAGAAACAGCAAUAGGACCAUAACUGUAUCAGUCAAACUCCUAAACCUAGGGUUUUGCACCCAGUAAUGAUAAAAAAUAAGCACAAAGGCAUAAAUUCCAUAGAAACUAAGCAAAUAUAUACAUACUAUUGAACAAACGAAAGAGAAGAAGGGAUUUAUUGAGGAACCGAAAUGAGUAAAAACAGUUAAGAUUGCGUGCAAACCUGAACUCUAUUAGCGACUAUUGAGUAGGGAAUGAUUUGCAGGAUAGAGGAAGGGAGUUUGUUUUGGAGGGCGAGUGUUUUCUCUGGGGGAAGAGGGGGGGUUGGAGCGGUGGAGCUCCGGAGCAGAGAAGAAGUUUUUGGGAGGGCGCUUGGUGUCCGGCUCCAAAAGAUGAUGAGGCUCUCUCCAAUAAGGUUAUUGGAGAAAGAAAGCGAACAAAAAACACCCAAAAAAAAAAUAAAAAAGGGAGGGCUUUCCAGAACGCUGAUAAAAAAACUCCUUCCUGUGGUGGCCUGCCGACCGCCCAGUGUGCCCCUUUUGUGUUUUCAAACCAUACACAUCGAGAAGAGAAAAAUGAGUGCUCCAUGGUCAGCACCAAUCUAGUUUUAAUGCUUAAGGUUUAGGCAAAAUUAAUUGUGGUCAUCCAUAUUUGACACGUGUGCAGUUUUGUUUUCAAAAUUUUGGUUAAUUAGUUACCGACAUACCAUUAUGUAAGUUAUUCAUAUUGUUUUAAGAUUACUUUGCAUUUUAUUUCUUUUUAAAAUGUUUAAUUCAACAAACAAGUGAUUGCAUGUGACUAAUUCCAUAAAUAUUUGAAAAAAAAAAUUCUGUCAAUUGUCUUAAAUCUGCUUCAAAUUGGGUAACACUAGGGAUCAAAAUUGUUUUCGUGGAAAAUUUAAAGACUAAAAUUGCAUCAAAUACCAACCAUUAGGGAUUAGAUUUGUUUUUGCUAAAAUUUGAGGGACCAAAAUUGCAUAAAUACCAAACAUUGAGGAUCAAAACUGCAUUUCCAACUAUUAAUAAUGUGUCGAAAAUAAUGAUGGAUUAUGCUAAAAGGCUUCCGUAUGAACUUAAUGUCCAAUAACGUAUUAUCGUGAACAUAUUAUUCCUUGGCAAAUAUUUUUUUUUUUACUUACAUCAUAAAUAUAUAAAUUAAUCUUCUAUAUACUAACAGUGUACAUACUUUCACCACUGAAUGGAAUGUAUGACACAUAAUCUGAAUUUAAAUUUGAAAUCCAAAUUUUAUAUAUAUAUAUCAUGCAUUCAACCGUGAUAGUAUAUACACCAUCAGUGCAUAUAAGAUUUAUUCUAAAUAUAUUUUCAAACAUCUUUUUUAAAUAUUUUUUAUUAAUUUUUAUUUCACAUACAGCGAGCCGCAAAAAAAUGCUAUAGUAUUAUUUCAAAUAGUUUCCUAUCAAAACACACUAUCACUAUGAUAGUAUAUAAAUUCCGCAUGUUAAAUUACACCGUAGUUGUCUCAUGCAAACCUUUUGUUUUUUUAAGUAAGUUAUCUCAUGCAAACUUAUUUAGACAUAGUGAUUGUCUUCUCACAUGAUUAAGUGAUAGACAUAAGAGUUAUUAACUUGUUGUAAUUAGGCAGCAGAUGGGUUCAACUUGUACGCGUAUCCCCCGGUUCAAGGACAUUAAAAUCCCAAUGUUUCAUUAUUAUAUAUAGCUUCAAUCAGUUUUUAUUGCUCAACCAAACUAUAAAUGAAGUUAUCAAAGGUUGUAACAGAGACUAUAGCGUCAAGCCGACCUUAGCUCAGUUGGCAGAGCGGAGGACUGUAGUGUUGACUGUCAUCCUUAGGUCGCUGGUUCGAAUCCGGCAGGUCGGAUACUUUUUCAUUAUUUUCCCCUGCUCACUUUCCUUUCGAUUCCUUUCAUUGGUGGUAUUUCCGUGGGCGCAUGACAAAAAACCUUUACCUUCUGUAUCCUUUUCACUUUCCUCCCAAUGGACAUAUACUCCCAAAUGCAUAAUUGCUAAAUAGUGUCAAGCCGACCUUAGCUCAGUUGGCAGAGCGGAGGACUGUAGUGUUGACUGUCAUCCUUAGGUCGCUGGUUCGAAUCCGGCAGGUCGGAUACUUUUUCAUUAUUUUCCCCUGCUCACUUUCCUUUCGAUUCCUUUCAUUGGUGGUAUUUCCGUGGGCGCAUGACAAAAAACCUUUACCUUCUGUAUCCUUUUCACUUUCCUCCCAAUGGACAUAUACUCCCAAAUGCAUAAUUGCUAAAUAGUUUAUAUUUACUUCCAUUUUUAUCUAGAUUUUUUAUAUGAACUCCAACCAAUUGGUUGGGAUGCUUGAGGAAAAAUUGGAAAUAAAAAGGAAGGUAGGAAGGAUAAAUUAAGAUCAGUUACAUGCUUUUCUUCAGGGUAAAAAUAAACUAUUUGAUUAGAAAAAAAAAAAAAAAAAACCUUACUGUUGUUGUAAAAAAUUCCCCUGCACUUCUUUCCUAAGCUCCCAAAAUAAAUUGCAUCUUUUCUCCUCUACCCCUUGUAGCUUUAAAGUCUCUUUCUCUUUUUUUUCUCACCUCAACUCGCAAGCAAUAUUGGGUAGCAAAGCAACCUAUUCGUCAAAAUCUAUAUAUAUAUGUAUUACAAUGGAGGUUUUAGUUGAUGCCUUCUGAAUGGCUUCCAAAUCUCCCAUACUUUUUUUCUAGAUUUUUAUUUAUUUUAAUGCAUAAAUUCAAUUAAAAAGUUUGAAAUAGUGAUUUACAACUAAUCUUAUGACAAUUCAAAUUUAAAAUUUAAAAAAUUUCCACUUCAAAUGAGGCCUCAAUAAAUUGUUUAUUGUUUAUUUUUAGACUUUAAUCCCUUUUUCCUUCCAUAAUUAAAGAAAAUAAAUUUGGAUAAUUUGAUUAGUCCUAUAGUAAAAUUAUUCAACCCAUUACAACUUUAUCACUUUAGCCUGUUUUACUCCUUGAUUAAUAAAGAUUGAUUUGUCAAAUCAGAGGAAUAAUAUGAUUAGUCCCAUUUUUUAAUCAUUUAUAUAAUAAUAUUUUUAGCACUCUCCUUUCAGGUAUACAUAUAAAUUUGUCAAACAUUCAGAUGACAUAUACAAUUAACUUAUUGCAACUAAAUCAAUUUUUUUAGCCUUAAACUUAUCCUAUUAGACGUUUAUUCCAACCAAUGAAAUAAACACUUUGGCAUACAAUGUCAUUUAGAUAAUUUUUAACAUGCGCAAAACUCCAUCUGAAUAAUUUUUCCUAUAACAUGUAUAUCAAAAAGUCCACAUAAACAAAAUUUUUAUAUGAAUUUUAAAUUAAUAAAAUGGGCAUUUAGAUGGUUGUUUAUUGGAGUGUUUAUCGAAAAUUUUAAAAUAAAUAUUUGUUUUAAACGAUUAUCUUGGCUAGUUGUCACAAAAAAAAGUAGUAUUUCACCAAAGUUAUACCCCAAUUACUUUUUCUUGAUGAUUAUAAUUAUAAAUUUUUAUUUGGAAAAAAAACAUUUGAAAAGUUAAGUAACAAAUCCUAAAUAAUAAAAGGAGUAGAAGAAUAGGAGUACAAGGUUGGGAAGAGCAAAAGUGAGGUAACAAAUCAUAAAUGGUAGAAUGAGUAUAAAGAUAAGAGUAUAGGGUUGGGGAGGUUAAAGUUAACAGAAUUGUAGAUGUGGGUUGAGAUGAAAGGAUCAAAAUGGGUGAUUUAUGUGAGUUAAAUGUAUAUAGUUUUACAUGAUUUUGGUUAUGUUACACAUUUACAAUCCACUACAAUUUUUUUUAUUUUUUCUCCCAUAUUAUUUGAGCAACAAAAUAAGAUAUCAUUGUAAUGAACAAAAAUAAAAACAUAUUAUAAUAAUUAAUAAAUUUUCACCUAAAAAUAAAAAAUUACAUAGAAGAACCAAUAGUGGUGAGUUUCAAAUUUUGCACUCUACAAAAAUCUCAAAAUAAUUUAAGUGUGAAUGCAAGAAAUAAAUUAAGAAGGAAAGAAGGGAGUAGGAUAAAAUUUAAUAAAAAUUUAAAAAUAAAAAUUAAAUUAUAGGAAAAGAAAGUUAAAUAUACCUUUGCAAAAAGUAGAGUUAAAUAUACCUUUGCAAAAAGUAGAGUUAAAUAUACCUUUGCAAAAUUAGAAUACAAUUAUUUUAUUGGUAGUGAUUUAAAUUUACUUAUUAAUGAAUUUGAUUUUACAUCUAAUUUAAUUAGCACUAAAUAAGUUGUCCCAAUCUAUCCAUUUAAAAGCUAAUAAUUAAUGGGUUCAAUUGAGUUACCCAUUUGAAACUAAUAAAAUUGCAUACCUGUACUCAUUUGUUGAAGAAUGAGUUGAAAAAUUGGUCACUUUUUAUAAUUAUAAAUGGAUGGAAAAAGUAGUAGAAACGUAGCCUACUUCUACUUCUACUCCUACUCUAAUCUACAAUACGGGGGAGAGGCUCAACGGGAUUUAGAGAAAUCAACAGAUACUGAACUAUUAUCAGUCCAGACGAUUAUGGAUUUAAAAAAAGUCACAACAGUGGCACAUUGAUAGACUAUCAUCAGAUCAGACAAGCACAUUACGCACCUUUAUAGAUUUUAAAAAAGCCACAUAUAGUGGUACAUUAAUAAGAGACAAUGUUCGAACUCUUUACCUCCUACCCCCAUCAAAAUUUAAAAUUUUUAGUGGUGGCCAAUAGUCUAAAAAAUCGUUGGUUUGAAGAUAGAGUUUGUGAGAGGAAGAAAAUUUGAGAGAUAUGGAAAGUUGAGUUAGGCAGACAAGAAAGAGAGCAACGAGGAGUAGGAGAAUGUUGAGGGGAAAUAGCACAAGAGGAGAGAACGUGGAAAUAAGGAGUAACAAUGAGAAUGUUUGGAUACCCAAAUUAUCUCAAAUAAUAUUUCGCUUACAUCAUAAACACAUUUCCCAACCUACCUUUUUAUAUUCCCAAUCACCUUUUUAUCUCACAUACAUCACAUCACAAAAAGUGCUACAGUAAUUAUUUCAAAUAAUAUUUCAAAUAAUACACUAUCCAAACAAAAAUGUUAUACUUGGUGUAUUUUUAGUAUUUUUUAGGUAUUUUUAUGAUCGUUGCUCAUAUUUUUUAAUAUAGUUUAAGGUUUUAGAUAAGUUACAUAAAUACAAUAUAAAUUAGAUACUAAAAUAGCACUCUUUUAAAAUUUUAACCACAUUUUCAUGUAAUUAAUAUAAAUAAUUCAUUUACUAUUAUUAUUAUUCUAUUAAACAUAAAUCCGUGCACGGGUUACAAUACUAGUUUUGAAGUAAUAAAGGAGAUAUGUCACAAUUGAUAAGGUAUUGCUUGCUUAUAUAAUUGCGGAUGGUACAGGAACCUGGUUGAGGGUUUUACUAUUUUUAACAUAAAUGAUAUAUUACAAAAAUUUAUUUAAUUAUAUUAUUAAUAUAUUUUUCAAUAAUUUUUUUAUUUUAUAUAUAUCACAUAAAAAAUUGUUGUAGCAUUUAUUUUCAAAUUUUAUUUCAAAUAAUCUACUAUCCAAUCACAAAACUUCCGUGAUAUGGUCGUGCAUGAAAUAAAAAAAGAUUUUAUUGAUAAUAAAUAAAAAAUAAUUUAAAAAUGUGUUUAUAAUUGGAGCAAAAAAAUUCAAAUACCGCAGUGGGCAGUAGCAUUGUACUAUAUGCCCACUGCGGGGGCAGUAGCAUUGUAGUAGAAUCCACCUGUCAGUGCUUCAGACAUCUUUAACGCCCCAGUCCUCAGUCCAUUUGGUCACGACCACCACCAUCACGACCACCACCGCCACCUUCCCCCACUUUCUUUCUUUCUCACUCACUCUUUCCCCAUCUCGCCGUCCUUCAUUUCCCCUCUCUCUUUUUCAUACAACCACAAGACCUUCCUGGCACGGCACAAAAUCACGUACUUCUACUACUCUUUUAUUGGUCACCGCUGUUGAGAGUGUUGCUUUGAAAAUGGCCACGGCGGUCACCACUCCUCCACCGCCCUCCUCCUCUUCUUCUUCAUGUGGGCCCAAGUUAGAAUCUUUGGCAAAUAUAGACAUAACUAAGUUAUCUCAGUCAGAGCUUUACACCCUCUCCAAAUGCUCCAAUUCCGCCUUCGACCUUCACCGCUCUGACGACGUCGUAGUCCCCAACAUCGAUCGUUCCCUCUUUAACGAGUCCUCUGGUAGCCGCCGUCAAACCUAUUCCCGCCUCCGCCAAAGCCACCAUCAUCACCACCACCUCCACCCACGUACCCGCCUCCCGGGGUUACUUCCCGGGCCUAAACAUUCCCCUUCUGCUGACCCCGAAAACCACGCCAUUCUCCACUAUUUAAAACACUAUCUUAACCACAAUUCAGCUACCAAUUGCCCGCCUCCACCACCGCCACCGCCUCUGCCACCUCGACCACCUCCCCCGCCUCCACAGCCGGUGGGGUUGGGAUUGCAAGAAAAAAUGGCAAUUGCGGUGAAUGUUGUGGAGAAGAAGAGGAAGAGGGGCGGAAAGGUCAGGUGGAAUCCGGGGUUGUUGGAAAAUGGGGUGGGGAUGGAGCUUGAGAGAGUGAACAAAAAUGGGCUGGAGGUCGACUUUGCGGCGUUGGAGAGUAAUGGGGAUGAGUUUUAUAGUGCUGAAUUGGGGAGAAGGACAAUGGGGUUGGAGACAGAGGAAGGGGUUUUAGAGUUUUUGAGGGGUUUAGAGGGACAAUGGUGUAGUAGAAGGAAGAAGAGGAAGUAUGUUGAUGCUGGUGAUUUUGGCGAUGCAUUGCCCAUUGGCUGGAAGCUCUUGCUUGGCCUUAGAAGGCGAGAUGGCCGUGUGUGGGUGUAUUGUCGCAGGAUCAUAAGGUUGUUAUCCCACAUUUUCAUUUCUUUGUGGAUAUCAUUCAUAGUUGUCAAUGACAACGUUGCAUUUUAGUUAAAUGUUUGUUUUCCUCUGUGAUACCUUCAUAAUAUAUCACCGUUGUGCUGUGAUACGAUGAUUUUUUAUUUUUUUAGUGCUUGAACUCAUGCUGUCUCAAGUACUCUGUAAGCAGUAAUCCAUAUUCUUGAAAGCAUGUGCUGCUUCGUAGAACCUUGUGGAAAUAUUUUUGUUGAGAUUAUGUGAGACAUUGUUCAAGGUUUACUUUGUGGUUCAUGAUUAUUACAACUCAAAACAUGACAAUCAGUAUUCACGUUUGUUAUAUAAGAGUUUUUUUUGACAAUUGUGUUGACCAAACAUUCAGUUGUAAGAACUGGUGGUUUUGUUUGUACAUGUAUUUGGAGAUGCUCCUUCAGAGAUGACCCAUCAUGCGUCCCUUUCUAUCUUAUCGUGUGAUUUUAAUUUGAAUCAUCAUAUCACGACUUUUAAAGCAUCAAAAUAUUGCGUUCUGAGUGGAUAAGGUCUUCUCGCUUUACUUUUCUCCUAUGAAACAUUUCUUAGAAAGCCAGUUUGGUUAAAGUAUACUAGAUCUUUAAGCUGUGGUCUUUUUGGUUUUAUUAUGGAUGAAUUGUCUUUUGAUGAUUAUUGCCGAGUAACUUUUAAAAUAUUGGCAUUCUUACAGAGACAGUCCGUAGAGGAUCCAUAGGCAGGUUGUUUUGUCAUUAAACCGGCAGGAAUAUCAACUCUUGUCGGAUGCAAGAAACAUGCAUCUAAAGUGAGGAUACAUAGGGCACUCUUUGCCUAUUAAGUUGAUGUUCUACGAAUCAUGAGUUUAAAGCAUUUCCUGCACUAUCAGGUCUAGGUGUUUAACACAUAAUAAUAUGUUUCAUUUCUAUGGGUUUUAUUGCACAUGCAGCGCAGAUCUAAACCUGCUCCUGUGCCAAAAAUUGUAGACCUAUGGUGUGCAUCUCAAUGCCGUCUUUUGAAGCCAAUUAAUUUGACAAUUCUGCAGCUGUAUUGUUUGUUUUGCAUUACCAUUAUGACCUGCCUGAUGCUACUUUAAUACUAGCAGCAGGAGGAGUGGAUCAUUAAGGUAAAACCAUCUCAUCAUGGUCAGCAUGGCAGAGUUGACGAGAAUGGCAUGUUGAUGACAGUCUGAAAUUAGGUUAUCUAAAAACUGUCUUUUAAGUUUUUCAAGACUCAGAGAAUCGUCAGGGUCGUUUUAGUCCAUCUUAUUUGGUUUGUCCGCUUUAAUUAGUAGCCUUAAACUUAUUGAGUUUUGGGUAACUUGUACUUGUUUGUCCUCUAUGAAUAUUGGUUUUUAACUGAUUCUUGCCAAUAAUAUGAUAUGUGAAUUGAGACGGAAGAUAUGCAAAAUCUCUGUUUCGCGUAUGGAGGCACAAACUUUUCAUUUCACUGUUGAAAUGUUUGAUCUAACUUUGCACAGUGUUGGAAGCUCUCAAUAUUUCUAACUAAUUCAUAUUGUGUUAGGAUAACUGUGUACAUAAUGCGCAUAUUCUGAUGAUUUAGUGAUUUAAUUACGAUUGAAGCCAAACAUCUUCUAUGAUCCGCUUGGAUGUCUAGGCGUCCCCAAGGACAAUUGUAGCUCUUAGGUGUUAAUACUUUUUCCUUGCAUUGUAAUUACUGGGUUGAGAUCCUUCAGAUUCUGAAGCUCAAAUUAUCAUUGAUUUUCUUGCAAAGUGAGCUAAAAGGUAAGUAAUUAUAAUGUCAUACAACUUGUGGAUAUCAAUUGCUUUCUUCCUAUAGCAAACCUAAUCUAUCAUGUUUGGUAUCAUUACAUAUUAGAAUUGGGUUUUGAUUGGUCUUCUAUGCUUCUAGAACCUUUUCACUUUUCCCCUUUUUUUAAUUCUAGCUGCUAACCGCUUUUUUGCACCUAAUAUGAUAAAGUACUUGUGUAGAGUGCACGUUGUGAAAUUGUACAAUCUGUGAUUAAAUGUAGCUUUUUUUUUCCUUAAAAUGGACAUUUUGGCAACAGCUUUCUUUAGAUAAUGAAGAAAAUUCCUUGAGGAAACAUGCCAAUCUCUAGAGCAACGGAAUAUUAAUGAUAUGUACCUUUCUGGAGUAGCUAAUUUUGUAACUAGAUGAAAAUUGUCAAUUUGGCCAGGGUUAUGGUUGCUUAAGCCUUAAUCCUAUUUGAAAAUUUUCUUGUUGGCCAACAUCUAGGAUGACCUACCUCUCUCUCUCUCUCUUUCUCAUGGAAGUUUGGGAAGGGAGUGCAUUUUGCAUAUACUUGGCCAUUACAAGAUAAUAUUAAUCUUUUGAGGCAUGACUACCUUAGCAGUAACUAUCUGUUAUUUUGCCAAAGUAGUUCAUGUAGUAACUCGUUCAGGCGUUAAGGUUUCAUUAAAUUUCAUAUGCAGCACUUUUAUGCAAUAGUCAUUGUUGCUGGAGGUUUAAGGUAUAUGCGUCGUGGAAGAUAUGUGUAUGCACAGAGUCUAAGUUUACAAUUUCUCUGGCCCCUUAUAAUAGACGUAAGUUCUGGGAGGAUAGUUGCCUAUUUUUUUUUUUUCCCUUUUUGUCUCUUGUCUACUUUAUUCUUUCCAUUAAACUUGGCUUAAGGCAGUAUCGCAUACCAAGAUGUUGCUUUUCAAUGAUUUGGAGCUGAAUUAAUUAAUUAAUAUUUGAUAUGUUAUGCAACAUAGUAACUAUUGUGGAGGUGACAAAUUGAUGAGUAGUUCAUUUACUUAUCAUGUGCGAUUUGACUUUCUACUCCAUAUUUUUUGUCAUUUGUGCUGCUAAUGUAUGUUACUCAUUCUUCUGUUGCCAGCCCUACUGGGGAACAAUUUCUCUCCUGCAAGGAGGCUUCAUCUUUUUUGCGCUCCUAUUUUGAGGCCAAAAGCUCAAAUCAGCCAGUGGAUCAGGGGACUUCCAUAGUUGAGCAAGCUGGUGCUGUGGCUUCACGAAGGGUAAGUUACUACCCUGUUUGUCUUUGAGUUUUUCCUCAAAAAUUUCUGCAAAUAUGAUUUAUAGGCUAUGGAACAGAAUGCAGGUUCUAUCACCAAUGCUUAUCAAACAAGUCAUGAGAUUGUCCCCUACUUGACAGCAUCUGGUGGUCAUGAUAAUGAUGUUGGCUUAAUGGAUAUAGACAAUCUCCCUGAGGUUCAGGUUCAGGACCUUUUUGAAUGUUACAAAUGCAACUUAACAUUUGAUGAAAAGAAUUUGUACCUGCAGCAUCUUAUGUCAUUUCACCAGCGGACUACAAGGAGGUAUAAGUUUGGGGAUGCUGUAGCAGAUGGGGUGAUAAUCAAAGAUGGAAAAUUUGAGUGCCAAUUCUGCCACAAGGUCUUCCUAGAAAGGCGUAGUUAUAAUGGUCAUGUCGGGGUUCAUGUCAGGAACCAUGUCAAAGGUUCAGAACUGCCUACUCCAGAUUCUGUCCAGAAGAGUGUUGAUUCUCCUUCAUGGGAGGGCCUGUGCCAGAGGACAUCUAAAAAUGCUCUAAUUGAAAUAGCUCAUAAUUUUACAUCCGCUGCUUCUAGUGCUGGACCUAGUUCUGCUGCUGUUGAAAUUUCCCACCCUAGUGUAAUGAACUUGAAUGAAACCUUGGCUGGCAACACUCAUGUUGGAGCAACUUUGGUUUCUGAGCCUUCACAAUUGGAAGGUCUAAAUGCUGGGAGAACGCUGAAUCUAGACUUAAAUCAGCAUAAAAGUGAUUCUUUUAUGGAUGAUGGGAGAAUGAGCACGUGUAACAAAAGGCAGGCUAUCGAAAUUAACCUGAAAGAAGUUCUUACAAAGGAUGCUGAAGAGUUGAAAGAAUAUGGAAACAAAAUUGUAGAAAUAGGUUUUGGACCUAGGUCUUCUAAGCAAAGUGAUGAUGUUGCAAAUUCUGAGGGACCGAUGGGUGAGGAAACUGUGCAUCAUAGAGGAAUUUCUUCCUCCUCAACACCAUUGGUGCAAGCAUAUGACUACUUUUCUUCUGUCCCAGACAAGGUAAUGAAAUGCAUGCAGUAACUUUUAUCAUAGUGAUAACAUCUUGGAACGUAUAGUAAGUUUUGGGUGGUUGUCAUCUUUGAGUCAACACCUAGAAAUGGUUGUGUUGUGUGAAUUCUUCAGUUCCAAUGUGAAUUGGACAUUGUAUUACCUGCAAAGAAGUUCAAGUUUUGUUUCAUUAAACUUUUGCACCACUUCAUGUCUAGACUGCUUGACACCAUGUCACAAGAGCAUUUUCUGCUCUCCCUGGCCGGGGUUAUAGAAAGCUUUUGUCAGCUUAUUUUUCAAGAGUUAAGAAUAGUAAAGCCAAUUAACAUUUUUUGUUUUUAUUGAACUAGGACAUUUUUGAAGCGCCGUGCAAGAUAGAAGAUAAUACAACAACCACAAAUGACAUUUUUGUGGAAAUUCAGCAAUUUCUAGUGAACAAUAUGAUGCAUUUUUCCUUUUAAUUUGCCCUGCUAAAUUAAUAUGAAAUCUGUUCAUUUUCUAAGUGUGCAUCUAGAUUUGCAUAAAGUGACAGGGCAGAUUUUGUUCCUCUAGGUUUAUUGUUUCUCAGAUUAAAUUUUUAAAUUUUUCACCUUAGCUCAUUAUCGGCGCGCAUGUUUUAAACUUGUGGCAAUCAAAAAAUCAAGUUACUGACAUUUCUGAAGCUUGUAAAUCUCACGUUCUUAACUGUCUGCAGUUUUGACUAAUUUAAUAGAGGGUGUAGAUAUGGUAAACCUAGAAAUGAGCUGCUAAAUUUUGAGAAUCUUAGAAUUAAUGGAACAAACAUACAAUUUAUGCCUUGCAUGAUGUUUAGAGAUUAAUCAUGGAAUUGUUGGGUAGAUCUGGGACCUAUCAAGGGGGAUACUCCCUGUCCAGAUUUAAUCAGCUGCCCGGAACUAUUUGUACUCGUAUAUAUAUAUAUAUAUAUAUAUAUAUAUAUUGAUGUAUGAGAAUUUGUUCAUUGAUAUCCAUGUUUAUUUGUAGGGAGAUGAUGAAUUUUUCUUGGAAAGCCAGAAACUUGGGAAUUUGCCAAGCUUUGAGGAGUUGGAGUUGGAUGAUAUGGGACCCUUCAAAUAUGAUUUUGCAGAUGGGCAAGAAUCAUCUUUGCCAGAGGUCUCCAUGAAUUUGGCAAGUGAUACGGGGAAGGGAGAAGAAUUGAAUGCUUCAGUUGGAUUUGAUUCACAGGCAGAUCAACUAGAUAUGACUGGCACUCAUCAAUUCACAACUGUGUGUGUGUGGUGCAGAUCAGAGUUCAAAAUUGAAGCUUUUGAUUCAGAACUUCAGUCGGAUUCUAUUGGAUAUAUGUGUACAACUUGCAAGGAUAAAAUAUCUGGGCAUUUUUCCAGGAUCUGUCAUUGAGUUCCCAUCUCUUCUGAGGUUCAUGGGCUUACUUAGUUUGGGGCUGACUCUGCAGAUACACAGUGGUAAUUAUUGUGUGCUCUUUCUGAUGGAUAAUGUAAAAGUUAUAACAAGAUUCUUGGACUAUCUCUUCUUUUGCUUUAUGAAUUCAAAAUUUGCUGCUUCUGCUCUGAUCACUUUUUGACAUCAGUUUGAUGUUGUGCAUAUUUGGGGAGUAGUGUAUCCCAGUUUUAGUAGUAUCGUAUUUUGGGUGACUAGACAACUGAAAUUAAAUUUUAGUGGUCUUAUUUCAAAUUGGUGAUUGAUUUCAGGUUUUGAAUCGAAAUUGAGUUCUGCUAGUUUAAAAGCGCUAUGAAAUGAAGCCUUCAACACUGAAUACUGGGUUAGAGUUUUCAACACUAGGCUGCGUAUAUGAUCAAAAGGGGCAUAACACGAAGACUUUGACUGCUUGGCUUUUUUUGAAUAUAUACCCCUUGUUUUGAGCCUACUUCCUUGAUGUUUUAUCGGCUGGCUGAAUUUGAAGCAGAUGAGCCCCAAUAGAAAAUAAUUUGGUUGCAACUGAAUCCUUCCGUUGAUUUAUUUGUUAUUAUUAUUAUUAUUAUCUUUUUCUUUUUGGCUUCAUAUUCUUAUCAAUUCCAUGUCCUUGGUGGCUCUUUCUUUACUCAUGUCUCCUCAUCCUGCAGGGAUUAUUCGCUACUGACUGCUUUCUUUUGCUUCUGUUGCUGGGUGGUUGCUCGGUGAAAGACUCCUUGCUGGUAGUAGGAAACGUGACUAGUAUGUUCAUACCUACAUAGCAUGGAUUACCUAGCUAAUCAAUUUUGGUCGUAGGCUUACCAAAAGUUUGUCUGUGUAUGUAUAUGUUGUGCUUAUAUGAUACAGUGCUAGAUAUAGUUUCUCCUACUAUCUUGGAGCUAAGGAUUGAACUUCACAAGCAUCAGUACUUAAAUAUUUAUAUAUAGUCAUCUGUUCCUGGCACCGUUUUUCAUUUUCUCUCUUUGCUGUUUAAAUGUUUCUGGAAGGUUGGAUUUAUUAGUUUGCAAUAUGUGCACAGGUAACAAAACUGAAAUUCUUCUACAUGCUUUUUUCGGGUUCUAGGUUUAUCACACAGAUAGGAUGUGUUUCGAAAACCAUGGGAAUUGUAAGAGGGGGGGAAGGAGGGGCGGUAAAACAUGCUUGCAAUGUAAUUACAUGGAUGUAUCUUUGUUUAGGUGCUUGACGGAUUAUUGUUGCAAAAUCUAUGUUGCUCGUCUCUGCAAAACUCGUCAGUACAUCGAUUCUAGUUAUCAAAUUCUAUAGAGGGUUGGAACUAGGAACCCGAGUUUAGGCAGAGUGGUGAACGAACACCACCCUUUCCUAGUCUUUUAGGACACUUUCCCUCCAAUUCUGCCUUAGCAGUAAACAGAAACAUCUGCAUUGCCUUGCUUAUUUACGAAGGGACUUUGAUCAUUUCAAAGAUGCUUUUUACAUUAUUUUGACGGUCUCUGUUGCUCGAACUAGUUAUUGGAACGUGCAUGGGUUGGGAGUAUUGCAGGGCAAGCAAUUGUGGUUUCUGUACUUCUAUUCCAAGCCUCCAAGAGAUGAUGAUGAACGUCCAUGGCCGGGGUGGGAAUUUUUAAAGUGGAUGGAUUCGGUAUCGCCCCUUCAGUGCGUAGUUGGCUGGGCAUCUGAUUCUUCGAAUCUCAUUUGAAGAUAACGAGCAUUUGUUAAACUUCUGAACACUUAAAUCACGCAUAGAAUAAAGGGUUCAAAAAAAAAAAGAAAAGAAAGUUGUCCAUCUUGACCGCUGUGUACUUGACUGACUGUAAAGAACUAUUUAUUAUUACCCAGAAAAAAGAAAUGUGGGGAACAGAACUUAUGCUUCAGCUUAGUCUCCUCUUGCGACUUCUACAACAUGAGUUCUUACAAUUUGGUGUCUCGCGGCUAAACAGUGUUUUCAAGUUUACAUCUUGUAAACAGUCAAAUUGCCCUGAAUAAUUAAUUUACGCAAGGGCGGAACAGCUUUGAGUUCUACAACAUCUACUGUACAAUAAUUAAUUUUUUUUUUUUGGGUAAGAAAGAGUUUAGCUCCUUAUAUUUGCAAUUAGAUCCAUAAUUUGCAUGCAUGAAAAUCUUGUCAUAUCCACCCUUCACUUUCCCUUAAAAGGACCUUUGUCCCUCCUAAAUCUUGAACCAGGUCUUUUAAGGAAUAUCUUAUUCCUCUAGUCAAAUGGCGGGUUACCAUUGUAAUUCGUAGCAGUAGUGUUAGUUAAAUCAUAAAUGUCACCGCAAGACGAAACCAAAGUUUAACCUCCCGAGUUCCUGCAAACUGUGAAAGAGUUCCAUUACAUCUACUGCUUACAUUCUUAUUGGUUUGUCAGUUGUCUUUGGUUUUUGCAGGAAGUCUCCAAAGUUGAGAACUUAGCCGGGGGUUGUCAAUCUUUGAAUCAUACAAAAGUUGACAGUUACUGGUAUGGAUACUGUUACUUGUAAAACAUGCCAUCGAAUAUCAUCAGUAACUAAACAUGCAACCAAAAUCCGAUGCCAUGGAUGCCAAGGAACUAUUUUGAUUGGCAAUAGUCAAGUAUCGGUUCCGUUGGACAAAAGCAAAUGGCCGAGCCAUGAUCAAGGUAACAUCAUCACUGAACGAAAACGGUUCCAUGAUUUCAGUAAGAAAGUCUCAGGUAUCAGUCCAAGAAGUUCUCCCAGCUUCAGCCAAUUUCCUGCUGCAAGACUAUCAGAUACACCACCAAGAGGGAAGCGAGCACUACUUUGUGGAGUAUCUUACAAUCAGAAUAAGAAAUUCAAGCUCAGAGGAACAACACCAGAUGUAAUGAACAUGGCAAAACUGCUCGUUCAGCAAUUUGGUUUCCCAACUAAUGCUAUCCUUGUCCUAGGAGGUAUUGCCGGUAACAAUUACUGAUAAAUGUUGUUGAAAGCAUGCAGGGGGCAUGAGAUUGAACAUCUGUGAGGAAUUGAAUUGUUUCUAAUUUGAACAUAGACAUCAGGUUAUUAUAUCAUAGACAUCAGGUUAUUGUAUCUUUACAUUCAUUUGAACCUUGUUCAUCUUAUUCCUGUGGCAGUUGUUACUGAUUUUUCACUUGGAAAUACUUUCUCAGUCUUAUAUAUUGGUAUAAUUGUAACUGAGGCCUAUUACACUUUCCUUAAUAGUUUUCUUCCAUUCCUGAUGUAGUACCAUAUAUGUUACUAUUUUUACUAUUUCCAAUUGAUGCACCUUACAAAGACACUAAACAACUUGUAGAUUUUAUGUCAUUUGAGCCUCCAACAAGGAUAAAUAUUAUACGGGCCUUUGACUGGCUAGUGAAAGACUCGCAAUCAGGGGAUUCUUUGGUGUUCUCUUUCUCGGGGCAUGGCACACAACAACUUGAUCUUGACGGCGAUGAGAUCGAUGGUUUUGAUGAAGCAAUCUGUCCUCUUGAUUUUGAGACUGCAGGAAUCAUAAUCGAUAAUGACAUCAAUAAAAUGAUUGUUGAACCACUUACACAAGGCGUCACACUUCACGCUAUAAUUGAUGCUUGUCACAGUGGAACUGUUCUUGAUCUGCCGCGAGUGUACGACCAUAACAGGUAAGGGCCUUUUUUCGAUGGUUUCGUUUUACUGCUUGUGCAUAUUUUGGUUCAAUACUAAAUUACUAAGGGAUAUAGGCAUUUAAUUUGGAAGAGAAACGACUCUUUUUAGUGUUACAUUAUGGUCCCACGAUAUAGAUUUCAAUUAACAGACUGGAUUUGAUCAUAUUACUUCUUAAAAGUCAGAAAGCCUUCAGGCUAAUAAGAUCCACCAACGAAGAAAAAAGUCAAGUCAUUGGACUAAAGGACCCUAUAUAGUGUAGCAUCCGGUCCAUGUUACACUGAUAUUUUCUCCUUCAGAAGUUUAUUGGUUGAGAUUAAGCUUCACUUUCUCCCUCUACUAUAUUGUGUGUAACUGAUGAUUAUAAAUCCAUUCAUGGGAGUUACAUAGACCCCGUUGCAGAUGUUUUUGGGUAAAAUUUUAUUUCUUUUUCACACUAGGGGGAGAUGGAAAGAUAAUUAUCCUGCAUCAGGUGCUUAUAAAGGUACAAGUGGAGGGAAGGCCAUCUGUUUCAGUGCUUGUGAGGACUAUCAACAAGCUUCAGAUACCUCUGUAAGUUUCCCAAAGCUGCUGUGGUAUUCUUCCACGCGACGAUGGCGAAUGGCGGGUGGUUAUGAGGGUGAUUUUCAGCCAUAACCAGUCGUAUCAUUGAUAAGUAGUAUAUGACAAUGACAAUUUAACUGCUAAUUAAAACUCUCCUCUUGUAUCAACCUAAUAAUGUAGGCUUUCUCUCCGGAGAUUGCUGGUGCCAUGACAUUCACAUUUAUAAAAGCAGUCGUGGAGAACAAAGAAAUAACAUAUCAUGGAAUUCUCGAUUCUAUUCACAUUGCCAUCCAAGACGCCAAUAAUUCUAAAAGAGGAUGCGGAAUGCUGAAACGGAUGUGUCACCAGAAGAUGCUACAGGUACUGACUUUCCUACUUUAACGUCCCUUUGGCCACUUAGUAUAAGCUGACACAGAGAUAGCUAGUUUGGAAGUCUAAUCCCUUCCGAUUGAAAAUUUUUGCUGUUGGCGCAUUAUCUCCUCUCCAUAACCUCUUUCUAGGUAAUUUCACUGCUGAUCCAUUGUUUUGCACCGCCACCGUGCAGGAUCCAAUGCUAUCAUCUUCCGAAUCAUUCAACGUUAACUCCUCAUUCAACCUCUAAGCAAUGGUGAAGCAUGAAAGUUCAUUUUUUGGCGCAAUAAUGCAAGUCAUUGCAGAUGUAAUUCUCCCUGGUUAUGUUGUAUUUGUACGAAUAACUCAGGACGAGUGCAAAUGCUGCGAUACCCAGCAAUAUGUUACAAGGGCAACCACUUGGAAAAGUUCAAUUUAUACUGUAAUAGUUGGACUGUGAAACGAACAAAUACUUUGCGUAUAGCGAAAAUGUUAAAGAAUCUGCCAGAAUGAAAAGCUUAUGCUAUUAGAAAGAAGGCGGUGAAUCGAAUUCCCAUUACGGAUGCUGGAGGAUGCCUCUUCAGGAGUCCAUUCCCGUCAUAAUGAUGGAAUUUCUUGUCCAGCUAAAAGUUAAUCGUAGAAGUAAAUACCAUUUCGCACCAUAGUCUAAAUUAGUACAUAAUGCUUAAUUAUGGUAGCAAACUCGCACCAUGGUCUAAAAUUACAAUAAGUUGGCAAUGGACUAAUAUAAUAACUUGCAAAAUACAUGGAGUAAACUUGGCAAAGAUUUUCUUUUAUCUGGUGAAUGCAGAAUACUUCCUUCAUUUCUGACACUUUUUUCCACUUGUAUCGAUCUGAAUAGCUCGAGCUUUUCAAUCCUAAAACCUUGGUCGUUUCCUUCAAAGUUAAAAACUUGCAGCACAAGCUGAUUCUUUUUAGUGCACUCCUGGAAUCAAAUACUCAGAAAAACCCAAAUAUGCUAUUCAGAUUUCAGUUCCACUCACUAAAUCCAAGACAGGAACGAAAAUUCUGCCACUCAAAAAACUGCAAAAAGCAUAAUUAAAGACUGAAUAUGGUUCUUUAGAACAUUUAUUAUAGUGGCUGACAUAUAUGAUGCUCACUUCACGUUGACAAAAGAAUAUAGAUUCGUUCGAGAUCAUCCCUGAGCAAAGGAGAUAAAUGAGACCUUUAUAUGUUGUGAAUUUUGAUGAUCAAAUACUUCUACCUUGACCUUCACUGCCCCACCAAGAUUCACAAUCCCAGGAUUUUUUUUUUUUUAAAAGAAAAGAAAUGGCAACAAGAACAGAGAAAUGCCAAUGGUGUGGGGUAAAUCUGCUUCUGCCUCUCCAACUUCAAGCAAAUUCAGUACGCUGUCCUAACUGCCAAUAUAUCAUACAGCUCCAGCACAGCCCCGAUCUCUAUUUCCAUCCUGAAGGGAAUGGAUAUCUCAAUGGGGCAUCAAACAACUGCAUUGGCAUGGGGUUUCCAGCAUAUAGGAAUUGCUGCAAGCAAGAUUUCGAGCCUUCUUGGCUAAAUGGCUAUCCACGUUACAUGCAAUCGUAUCAAAUGCCAAUGCAGGUGCUACCACCCACUUUUCAUGGGCGAAAACGGGCUGUUCUUUGUGGGGUGAGCUACAAGGGGCACCCAAAGAGUCUCAAAGGAAGUGUUAAUGAUGUAUUAUGCAUGAAAUAUUUUCUUGUUGAGAGGAUGGGAUUUCCUAAUUCUUCUGUUAUUGUUCUAACAGGUAUGCACCACAAUCCCACCUGUGAAACAAAAUUAAGUUUUGUAGUCACUAUAAAGUAAGAGAUGCAAAGUUGUGAUCGGUAAUGGAGUACUUUUCCUCAGUCUGAUAUCUUGAAGAACAUGAAUCUAUGCUAAGGAAAUGAAAGUCUUCUAUAUCUAACCUAGGUGUGGUAAAUGGCAUUUCCCACAGGAUUAUAAACAAAAGGAAUGAAAAGAAUUGUCAAUACCUGAAUCUACUUUAAGAUCUGAGUAAAGUUCAACCUUUUUUUUAAAUAUAAAUCAAUGGAUAUUAAAGCAUAGACAGCUAACGUCAUAUCUUUCAAAAAUAGCUCAACUGUCCAGACUAUAGCUCAUUCUGAAAUUUUGCAGAAGAAGAGAAAGAUCCUUUUCGGGUCCCAACCAAGCAUAACAUCCAAAGAGCCUUACACUGGCUUGUGCAAGGUUGUCAAUCAGGGGACUCUUUGGUGUUUCAUUACUCGGGCCAUGGCUCUCGUGUCCGAGACCAUGAUGGGGAUGAGAUCGAUGGACAUGAUGAAUCAUUGUGCCCUGUUGACUAUGAGACUGAGGGGAAGAUCCUGGACGAUGAGAUCAAUGCUACCAUAGUAAGGCCACUGCUCCGGGGUGCAACACUUCAUGCCAUCAUCGACACUUGCUUCAGUGGAACUUUCUUAGAUCUGCCAUUCAUGUGCAGGAUGAACAGGUAAAUAAUUUCCUUGUCCAUUCUGAAGCUGUAAGCAGUACAGUAUGAUUACUUACAAAGUCCUGUUGUAAAGUAGGGAAGGAUACUAUCGGUGGGUAGAUCAUAGCAUUCCAUAUGCUGCAUAUAAGGGUACAAGAGGUGGCUUAGCAAUCUCUUUCAGUGCCUGUGAUGAUGAUCAAAAUUCCGGGGACACUACUGUUAGUACUCAAAACAUUUCUUUUGCUUCUGAUUUUCAAAUCAAUUGGCUUGUUCUCGAGAAUAGCAUGGAUAAUUAAUCAUUCUCCUUUGCUCACUAAGCAUUUUAAUGUACAGAAUGAGUCAGCAGAUCAGUUUUUAUUAUCGACCGCGCAGAAUUGAUACUGAAUGUGAAAGAUGAAGUUCUCCCUGCUAGAAAUAAUCUGAUUGGCCCAAAACAGAAAAGAAUCUGUGCAUCCCUCAGACCUUCUUAAUUAGCUUAAGUUCAAUUCGAUUUUUGUUUGGCACUCAAAACUUUCCAGAACUUUAGGACCUCAAAAAUAAACUAAUAAGGUCUUGUACCAUAAUCUGCAGUAUACAACCCAAAAAAGGCUUGUCAGACCCUUGUUUAGUCCUCUGGAAUACGAUUAUGGCGUAACAUUUUAUGUUGCCUGAGCAGGUUUUCACAGGCACAGCGACUGGCGCCCUGACUUACAGCUUCAUCCAAACAGUAGAACGUGAACCAAGAUUGACAUAUGGGCGCUUACUUUCUACCAUGCGCAACAGUAUCAGUAAAGCACAAAAUGGAUUUUUAAAUUUCACUAGCUCAUUACAGGUAUUGAAUAUUGACAUGCUUUCCCAAGGCUUUUUCUGCUUUCUACAUGUCAAUUUUAGUUCUUUUACAAUGAAUGGUAAAGCAUUUACUUUUGGCGACUCAAUUAAAAGUGAAAUCAUGCCAUCGAUAGCAGGGGAUUAAAAGAUGUAUCAAUUUCAAAAACAGUCUUAUGCCAUCCUACACAUGCAUGUAAAUUGUUGAUUGGCUUAAUUAAAAAGAAACCUCUUGGAUGAAAAAAAUGAGGAAGAAAAAAGCAUGACCCAAUAAUAUAGCAUGCCUUACAGUUUGUAAGGAAACUAAAACAGCUAAAAGUAUUCAAGUUCAGGGGCAAAUCAAGAGCUUAAGAAGGAGAUGAGCAGUUGAUUUCUGGUCAAUUUCAGUCCCAUAUGCAUCUGAUGUACUCAUAUUUAAAAAGCAGAUGUAACAGCGUGUUUUACUUUGGUAUUGUGCAGGAACCUCAACUAUCCUCUUCUGAACAGUUUGAUAUUUAUUCAAAGGCGAUAAUCUUAUAGAUCCAGCUAUGCUUUUAACAGAUAAUCAGGACCAAGUGUACUGGCUUUACUUCCUGAGUCGUAUAACAGCUUCUUCAAGUCUAAAAUGCCCUCCCUUUAACUUUAGCUGAAGCUAUGCACAAAAAAAUCAUAAUACAGGCACUACAUGGUGACUGUCAGUUUGAUAAUUAGUACUUUAUUUGUAUGAGUAAAAGUGCAACGUAUUUCACAUGAAUCCCUGGUGUAAUUUACAUGUCUAAGACACUUAGUUUCCAGCCGUCUCCUAUAGAAUGCUCUUCUUUUCAUCUCCUAUGUUAUCCGAGUCUCAUAUGGAAAACUACACAAUCAACGAGUGCCUAAAUUUUUUUUCAGUUGCUACUUUGAUUGGGUAUUCAUUACUGAUACGAAAGAUCAAAAGACUGGAGAUGUCGUACAUUACAUCUGAGAGCCAAACCAGAACUAAUAUAUCAUAGUAUAAUCUGGUUGUGCUGUCCCUUGCUAGCUAUGCUCUUUCUGAGAGUGAGCGAUGCCAAGAUGUACCAAUAUAGGACUGCAAGAGCUCAUUCAGCAAGCCGUCAACAAGUUUGAUACGUGAUGAAUUUGUCAUGAAUUUAACUGAAGAUUUAACAAAUGCACCUAAUCAAAUUCUUCCUUUCAAAACUUCAGGUGAGACAAGUCAAUUUCUCUGGAUUUAUCUAGUAAAAGGGAUACAGAUAGCAUCCUUAUUAGUAGAUUCUUCCAAAUAAUAUGAGAUUUUUUCAAAACAAUUGAUAGAAAAUUGGAGGGUAUGCAUCGAGUAACUUAUUUGUUUGCAAAGCCACUGUUUGGUUGAAACAAAACCAUUAAACAAAAAUUUCAACAAAGUUAGUGGCUUCAUAUUUGUUUGCUAAAAAAAACCCACAAGAUUGUUUAGAAAAGUUUCUAUUCAGCACUAAAGAGAAUAAAAGGACAAAAAAAAAAAUCCCUAAAGUGUGAUACUUUGUCCGUUCCCACAAAGCCAACCUUCAUGAAAUCAGAGAGCAUUGCUUUCCUCACCAGUAAUGCUUUCUUUCAUGAAAGAACUUGCAUAUAAAUUGCGUCAUAACUUUCCUCACCAGUAAGGUUUCACAGGCAUUCUGUCACUGUAUUUAGCCUUGGCUUGGAUGUUACUUUUGCAUGUAUGAGAUUUUAUUCUGAUAUGCUGUCUACUUAUUUGCCUCUAUCAUAUAUCAACUAGGUGGCCUACUAUUGAAGGGAAUAGCCCAAAGACAUGAAAUAUUCCACUAAUGGAAACGAUGGGUCAAACAGAAUAUGGGUCGGCCAAGGUAGGUUUAAAGGGGAAGUAUCUGAUUCCCCAUCUCUACUUUGGCUUUUCUGCAAUAAAUUCAACGUGUCAACCCUUUACAAGCUUAAAUACAACUCCUUACGGACUUGUUUCGAAUUCAUCCAUCAGCAUCUCAUCCGCAAGAAGCUCACUGAAUAGAAAUGUCAGGUAGGAGAAUAAGGUGCAGUUGGUGUGGGGUUCAACUGACAGUGCCACCCAGAGCGCAAAAUAUUCAGUGUGCAGUGUGUAAAGCUGUAACACGGGUUCAACAAAAUGAUCGUCUUCCUGGUCAAGCUCAAAGUUCACUUCACGAUGCAACAAAUAAGUUGAAGGGGUUUCUUAAUACAGUUUCCAGCAAUAUUAAUUCAAUGGUAGCAUCAGUUAAUAACUACCCUAUGCAGGCAUCGAGUUAUGGUAGUUAUGCCCAACCUGCAAGACCUAUUUCCUCACUGAUGCCUUUUCCAGCAAAAGGGAAGAAACGAGCAGUGUUAUGUGCAGUGAGCUACUAUGGACAGAGACAUAGGCUAAAAGGAACUGUCAACGAUGUAAGGUGCAUGAAAUAUUUUCUGGUUGAGAGGAUGGGUUUUCCAAAUGACUCCAUACUUCUUCUUUCAGGUAAAAAUUCUUUGCAUCAUAUAAUUUUGAAACUCCCUGGCCUUGUGAAAAUUAAGCUCCACAUUUGUCUGAUAUAAAACUUGCAUAUUUAAUCUGCAGAAGAAGAGCCCAAUCCUUCCUUGAUCCCGACGAAGUACAAUAUCAGAAAGGCCUUGCAGUGGCUUGUCCAAGGUUGCCAAUCAGGUGAUUCAUUAGUAUUUCACUAUUCAGGUCAUGGCUCACAACAGCGUGACUUGAAUGGAGACGAGAUAGAUGGGUAUGACGAAAUGUUGUUGCCAGUUGAUCACCAAAUUGAAGGAACAAUACUGGAUGACGAGAUCAAUGCCACCAUUGUGAAGCCACUGCCCAGUGGCGCCAAGCUCCACGCCAUCAUUGAUGCAUGCCACAGCGGCACUGUCCUUGAUCUGCCAUUUUUGUGCAGAAUGAACAGGUUAGCAUAGGUAUUGCUGUAAUGCAGUUGCAAUUAAGAAGCAGAUUCCGGACUAGCCAAAAGAGAAGAAAAAUGAGUAUUUCUUUAUCUUGUAGUGAAGGAUACUAUGUCUGGGAGGAUCAUGGUUUCUUGUCAUCCACAUACAAAGGUACAAGUGGUGGGCUGGCCAUCUCCUUUAGCGCUUGUGAUGAUCAUCAAGUAUCAGUAGAUACCAUGGUGAGUAACCAGUUUUAGUAUCUGCCUCUUAAAUUUCUUGUAUUCGUGCGACACCAGCAACAAAUGGGGUACGUAGCAGAUCACAUAAAAUUGAAUAUGCAAUUCCUUCCAAUCCUAAUAAAUUGAGGCACUUGACGAAUAGAGAGAGAGUUUCCACAAAGUUUCUUGCUUUCUGCAAGAUGCUGUUAUUUCACAACUCUAAAUAUCAGAGAUCUUAAAGUAAGUACACUCCAGAUCGAGCAACUUGCAUGUUCAAAAAACGUCACUGGUUCAGGCUCUCUCAGGAAACGCUGUCACCGGAGCCAUGACGUACAGCUUCAUCCAAGCUGCACAAAAGGAACCCGGAUUGACGUAUGGUCGCCUGCUGAAUUCCAUGAGCCAGAUAAUUCGGGAUGCCAAAGCUGGAACACAUCUAAAUGGACCCAUUUCAGCUCUUUUGAGAAAAGUAUUGGGCACAGACUUGUCACAGGUUAGCACCGACACCGACACGCCACAAUUCAUUACUGGACAAUGCCUGCCCAUCGAAUUUAUAUUUUGAUAGUACAACUCCCUCUAUUAAUUCCUGUGCAUGGCAUAUCUAUCUUUACUAGAGAGUAAAAUUUCUGCAGUGGAUCUCGAGCAUAAAUUGUUGUCACGUAAGCUAAUUAAACGCAUUCCACUCAUUGUAAUUUUGGACCUUAUGAAGAUUACGUAAUGCAAAAUGCCAAAAAAGCAUUACCAGGGUAAUGAUGUUCAUCUCAACACCAAAAAAAUUGAGAGGGCCACGGGUUUAAUUACUAAACUUAUCCAGUUGAUGCUCUGUUUUCCUAGUUGUAAGGUAGCCUUCAUAUGGCAUUCUCAUGAUGCCUGAGCUCCGAAGGGGAGAGAGCAAGUAAUAAUACGGGGUCAUCCUCGUCCUUCUAUUAGCUAGCGUGAUAAGUUUCCGUUUGAUCCAUCAGCAAAUAUAAAUAGUAUGGUACUGAUUUGCUUGGAUUUCAGUUUCCCGUUCACUGUUUCUUUAUUGGUUAUUGCAUCCUGCAGGUGCCACAAUUGUCGUCUUCUGCAAAAUUUGAUAUUUACUCGAAGCCAUUGAGUCUCUAGGAUGAGAAGACGUAGCCACAUUACGAGGAUCUUCCGCUUGACUUGGAUGUAUAUGACUGUAUGUAGAUUGGAAAAUAUUUCGACCUUAAAAACCCAAUCAAUCACCAGUGGAACGAAACAAAUUUCGAAUGUCUGAGACCAGAUGUAGCACACAUCCCGCAAUCUCCCUUAUGUUGGCCGAGGCCAACAUUGUACUGAUCCAAGUAAAUAAACAAAUACUUCCUCCGUGCGACUUUCAUAGUCUUAUUACUAUUAUUAUUAUUAUUUUUAAGUAGUUAUCUUUAUUUCAAGAAUAAAUGUUAAAGUAUCUAUAUAUACCUAUAUAAAUUCGAACAAACCUUCUCACACCUCCAAAACUACCAAUUCCUUUUCUCUAGCAUUUUAUAUUUAAUUUAAUUCAUAAAAUAUAUUCCUCUCCACUUCCACAUCUCCUCUUCACAUUUGAAAUUGUUAGUUAUUUUUUAAAAUCAUUUCAUUUGUAUAUUUUUAUGAUAAUAAAGCCUGUGUAGAUAGUUAACUAGGUGUUAAUUUUGUUUGUUUUUAAAUUUACUCUUAUUUCUAUUACUCAUUAACCCUUAUCUGUGCAAUAUAUAAGGAGAGAGUGCCAUUGUGUAGUGUAAACACACAAUGUUAUUUUUUAAAAUUUCUAAUAUACCCUUAAUAAUAAGGGUAAAUUUGUCUCAAUCACAGAUAGUUAUUUGAAGCAGACCUCCAACUAACUACAAUUUUCUCAUGCUAAUUUCCAACUCUCACAUAUUCUUCUUUACUUCCAUCAUCUUUGUCUCGUGUAUGAUUAUUUGAAUUCUAAUGGAAUUUGACCCAUAAAAUCCAUAAAAAAAAAACUUUUUGCAGAGAUAAUUGUACUGUAAUAAAUAUAUUUUUUUUUUGUUAAUCGCAUACACCUUAAAGUGUGCCUUAAGCACUAGUCUAUAUAAAUUUGAGUAGAGAUUUUCAGGAACAAACCUCCUCACACCUCCAAACUCCCAAUUCCUUUUUUUUUUUUUCAUAGCAUUUCGCAUUUAAUUUAAUUCAUAAAAUAUCCUUUCAACUCCCAUAUCUAUUCUUCACAUUUGCAAUUGUUAGUUAUUUUUAAAAUUAUUUCAUUUCAAAUUGUUAGUUGCUAUGCGUAUGCAUGUUAUCCUUUAAAGAAAUGCAUGCCUUAAUGGUUUUUUUGGGAAGCCUUUUUUAAAAUUUUUUAACUGCAAAUAUUUAUUUAAAAACCAUUUCAGAAUGUUUGUUCAUAGAAAAAUUUCAAAGGUAGUAAAAUUUCACAAAAUUUACACUUCAAAUCAAAUUUUCUCCAAAAUCAUGAUUCCAUCUUUUGAUUUGGUAAAAAAAAUGCUUGAAAAAUGAGAAAUUGAGUUAUGAAUAGUGAAAAAGUUGAAACAUGGGACAAGAUUGGGAAAGGGCAAACUAUGGCCGAGAUAGUUAAAGUUUUAGCUAUAAUAUACAUGGGAGGAAGAAUGGUAAAAUAAGAGAUGAAUAGGGUUACGAGAAUGGAUAGGAGAGAGGGCUAUUAGCCUAUUAAGAACAAAAAGCUUAGGACUUGCAAGAGAAGCCAAGGGGGUUGUUAUAGAGAAGGUGGGGCUACAAGAUGAAAUAAGGGUGGUGUAGGAGGCGAUUAUAGGUAGGGUUACGAGGUGGGGAGAAUGGUGUAAUUACAUGGAUGUAUCUUUGUUUAGGUGCUUGACGGAUUAUUGUUGCAAAAUCUAUGUUGCUCGUCUCUGCAUAACUCGUCAGUACAUCGAUUCUAGUUAUCAAAUUCUAUAGAGGGUUGGAACCAUGGUUCAAAGUCGCGGUCGCGGUCACGGUCGCGGCUUGGAACGUUCCACAUCGGUCUCGACAUAUCGGUCGCGGUCUCGGUGAGACACAAAUUUUUAAAAUAUUUAAUAUUCUAAAAUUUGUAAAAAAUAUGAUAAAUAAAAAUAAUUAAAAUUUAGUAAAAAUAAUAAAAAUUCAAGUUGACUCGGAAUGACUCGGAGUGACUCGGUGUGACUCGACCGUUUUAACCCUUCACGGUGACGUCUCGGCCUGUCGCGUAUCUCGGAACGUUUCGGUCGCGGUAUCGUCUCGGACUAGGCCGAGACGGCCGAGUCGUCUCGGUCUCGGCCGAGUCUUCGAACCAUGGUUGGAACUAGGAACCCGAGUUUAGGCAGAGUGGUGAACGAACACCACCCUUUCCUGGUCUUUUGGCCACUUUCCCUCCAAUUCUGCCUUAGCAGUAAACAGAAACAUCUGCAUUGCCUUGCUUAUUUACGAAGGGACUUUGGUCAUUUCAAAGAUGCUUUUUACAUUAUUUUGACGGUCUCUGUUGCGUUGGCUUGUUGUUCAAAGUAGUUAUUGGAACGCGCAUGGGUUGGGACUAUUGCAGGGCAAGCAACUAUAGUUUUAUAUGCUUCCAUGGGUUGGGAAUAUUGCAGGGUAAGUAGUUAUGGUUUCUAUACUUCUAUUCCAAGCCUCCAAGAGCUGAUGAUGGACGUCCAUGGCUGGGGUGGGAAUUUUUAAAGUGGAUGGAUUCGGUAUCGUCCCUUCAGUGCGUAGUUGGCUGGGCAUCUGAUUCUUCGAAUCUCAUUUGAAGAUAACAAGCAUUUGUUAAAGUUCUGAACACUUAUAUCACGCUUAGAAUAAAGGGUUAAAAAAAACAGAGAAGAAGUUGCCCUUCUUGACAGCUGUGUACUUGACAGAACUUUUGUUUCAGCUUAGUCUCCUCUUGCGACUUCUACAACAUGAGUUCUUACGUACGACUUACAAUUUGGUAUCUCGCGGCUAAACAGUGUUUUCAAGUUCACAUCUUGUAAACAGUCAAAUUGCCUGAAUAAUUAAUUUACGCAAGGGCGGAAUAGCUUUGAGUUCUACAAUAUUUACCGUGAAACGUCUUUUAGAGUUUAGCUCCUUUUCUAUUUUUGGGUAAGAAAGAGUUUAGCUCCUUAUAUUUGCAAUUAGAUCAAUAAUUUGCAUGCAUGAAAAUCUUAUCAUAUCCACCCAUCACUGUCCCUCCUAAAUCUUGAACCAGGUCUUUUAAGGAAUAUCUUAUUCCUCUAAUCAAAUGGCGGGUUACCAUUGUAAUUGGUAGCAGGGUUACUCAAAUCAUACAUGUCACUGCAAAAGUUGUCAAUCUUUGAAUCAUACAAAAGUUGACAGUUACUGGUAUGGAUACUGUUACUUGUAAAACAUGCCAUCGAAUAUCAUCAGCAACUAAACAUACGACCAAAAUCCGAUGCCAUGGAUGCCAGGGAACUAUUUUGAUUGGCAAUAGUCAAGUAUCGGUUCCGUUGGACAUGAGCAAAUGGCCGAGCCAUGAUCAAGAUAACAUCAUGACUGAACGAAAAGGGUUCCGUUAUUUCUGUAAGAAAAUCUCAGGUAUCAGUCCAAGAAGUUCUCCCAGCUUUAGCCAAUUUCCUACUGCAAGACUAUCAGAUACACCACCAAGAGGGAAGCGAGCACUACUUUGUGGAGUAUCUUACAAUCAGAAUAAGAAAUUGAAGCUCAGAGGAACAACACCAGAUGUAAUGAACAUGGCAAAACUGCUCGUUCAGCAAUUUGGUUUCCCAACUAAUGCUAUCCUUGUCCUAGGAGGUAUUGCCGGUAACAAUUACUGAUAAAUGUUGUUGAAAGCAUGCUAGGGGCAUGAGAUUGAACAUCUGUGAGGAAUUGAAUUGUUUCUAAUUUGAACAUAGACAUCAGGUUAUUGUGUCUUUACAUUCAUUUGACUCUUGUUCAUCUUAUUCCUGUGGCAGUUGUUACUGAUUUUUCAAUUGGAAAUACUUUCUCAGUCUUAUCUCUUGGUAUAAUUGUAACUGAGGCCUAUUACACUUUCCUUAAUAAUUUUCUUCCAUUCCUGAUGUAGUACCAUAAAUGUUACUUUUUCCAAUUGAUGCAUCUUACAAAGACACUAAACAACUUGUAGAUUUUACGUCAUAUGAGACUCCAACAAGGAUGAAUAUUAUACGGGCCUUUGACUGGCUGGUGAAAGACUCGCAAUCAGGGGAUUCUUUGGUGUUCUAUUUCUCGGGGCAUGGCGUACGACAACUUGAUCAUGACGGCGAUGAGAUCGAUGGUUUUGAUGAAGCAAUCUGUCCUCUUGAUUUUGAGACUGCAGGAAUCAUAAUCGAUAAUGAAAUCAAUAAAAUGAUUGUUGAACCGCUUAAACAAGGCGUCACACUUCACGCUAUAAUUGAUGCUUGUCACAGUGGAACUGUUCUUGAUCUGCCGCGAGUGUACGACCAUAACAGGUAAGGGCCCUUUUUCGAUGGUUUCGUUUCACUGCUUGUGCAUAGUUUGGUUCAAUACUAAUGGAUAUAGGCAUGUAAUUCAGAAGAGAAACGACUCUUUUUAGUGUUACAUUAUGGUCCCACGAUAUAGAUUUCAAUUAACAGACUGGAUUUGAUCAUAUUACUUCUUAAAAGUCAGAAAGCCUUCAGGCUAAUAAGAUCCACCAACGAAGAAAAAAGUCAAGUCAUUGAACUAAAGGACCCUAUAUAGCGUAGCAUCCGGUCCAUGUUACACUGAUAUUUUCUCCUCCAGAAGUUUAUUGGUUGAGAUUAAGCUUCACUUUCUCCCUCUACUAUAUUGUGUGUAACUGAUGAUUAUAAAUCCAUUUAUGGGAGUUACAUAGACCCCGUUGCAGAUGUUUUUGGGUAAAAUUUUAUUUCUUUUUCACACUAGGGGGAGAUGGAAAGAUAAUUAUCCUGCAUCAGGUGCUUAUAAAGGUACAAGUGGAGGGAAGGCCAUCUGUUUCAGUGCUUGUGAGGACUAUCAACAAGCUUCAGAUACCUCUGUAAGUUUCCCAAAGCUGCUGUGGUAUUCUUCCACGCGACGAUGGCGAAUGGCGGGUGGUUAUGAGGGUGAUUUUCAGCCAUAACCAGUCGUAUCAUUGAUAAGUAGUAUGUGACAAUGACAAUUUAACUGCUAAUUAAAACUCUCCUCUUGUAUCAACCUAAUAAUGUAGGCUUUCUCUCCGGAGAUGGCUGGUGCCAUGACAUUCACAUUUAUAAAAGCAGUCGUGGAGAACAAAGAAAUAACAUACCAUGGAAUUCUCGAUUUUAUGCACAAUGCCAUCGAAAACGCCAAUAAAUCUCAAAGAGGAUGCGGAAUGCUGAACCGGAUGUUUUACCCGAAGAUGCUACAGGUACUGACUUUCCUACUUUAACGUCCCUUUGGCCACUUAGUAUAAGCUGACACAGAGAUAGCUAGUUUGGAAGUCUAAUCCCUUCCGAUUGAAAAUUUUUGCUGUUGGCGCAUUAUCUCCUCUCCAUAACCUCUUUCUGGGUAAUUUCACUGCUGAUCCAUUGUUUUGCACCGCCACCGUGCAGGAUCCAAUGCUAUCAUCUUCCGAAUCAUUCAACGUUAACUCCUCAUUCAACCUCUAAGCAAUGGUGAAGCAUGAAAGUUCAUUUUUUGGCGCAAUAAUGCAAGUCAUUGCAGAUGUAAUUCUCCCUGGUUAUGUUGUAUUUGUACGAAUAACUCAGGAAAAGUGCAAAUGUUACGAUACCCAGCAAUAUGUCAGAAGGGCAACCACUUGGAAAAGUUCAAUUUAUACUGUAAUAGUUGGACUGUGAAACGAACAAAUACUUUGCGUAUACCGAAAAUGUUAAAUAAUCUGCCAGAAUGAAAAGCUUAUGCUAUUAGAAAGAAGGCGGUGAAUCCAAUUCCCAUUACGGAUGCUGGAGGAUGCCUCUUCAGGAGUCCAUUCCCGUCAUAAUGAUGGAAUUUCUUGUCCAGCUAAAUGUUAAUCGUAGAAGUAAAUACCAUUUCGCGCCAUAGUCUAAAUUAGUACAUAAUGCUUAAUUAUGGUAGCAAACUCGCACCAUGGUCUAAAAUUACAAUAAGUAGGCAAUAGACUAAUAUAAUAACUUGCAAAAUACAUGGAGUAAACUUGGCAAAGAUUUUCUUUUAUCCCCUUUUAUCAGGUGAAUGCAAAAUAUUUUCUUCAUUUCGGACACUUUUUUCCACUUGUAUCGAUCUGAAUAACUCGAGUUUUUCGAUCCUAAAACUUUCGAUCCUAUCAGGUGAAUGGAUUGAAGAGGAGGCUAUUAGCCUAUUAAGGACAAAAAGCAUAGGGUUUGCGAGACAAGCGAAGGGGUUGUUAUAGAGAAGGUGGGGCUACAGGAUGAAAUAAGGGUGGUGUAAGAGGCGAUUAUAGGUAGGGUUACGAGGUGGAGAGAAUGGUGAGAAUAGGGAGAAGUUACAGAGAUGGUGAUGAUGUAUUUGUUUAGCGUGCUUUAAUUUUGGUUACUUCUUAAGGUACCUGUUACAAAUACAAACCCCCAGUGACAUAUUUUCCCUUCUUUCUCCACCUUCCCUUUCUUGUCAAGACUUGCACUUUGAAUUCCACUUUGUAAUGCAUAGAAACUUGUACUUUGAAAUUCACUUUCUUUUCCACGUAAAAGAAUAUACCGGAAAUUUGAAACCCGUUAUAAAUUUAAAACUAUAUAAACAAAAGAUCAUAACAAAAAAACAAAUUGACAUUGUCAGGAACAAAUUAAAAAUUUUGUGGUAAUUGCGAUCUAUAGAUGUGAUUUUAUAGGUGUGAUCAUUAUCAAUUAGUUAAAAUUUUGAAGUUGUGAUUUGAAUUUCUAUUGUUGAAGUUAAUGGGGUUGCGUAAAUUGGAAAAUGAGAAGGAAUAAGGAUUAUUUAAUAUAUCUAAAUUAAAACAAAUCUAAAAUUGUAGGAACAAGGGAUUGGGGUUUUGGAGGCUUCUAAUGAAAAACUCUCCCUCUAAUACAUAUCUUACAUAUAUAAACAGUGCCUCAUGGUCCAGUUAUUCUGUGAUUUUUGUGAGCUUGAGGGGUGUUUUGGUCUUUUGGCGUUGGAUGGCAGUGGUUUUGCUGCCCAUGGACCGGUUAUCCGGUAAUUAUGGACAAUUUUGGUGGCUUUUGUAUUUGUGCUUCAGGUGUGUGUUUGGUUUCUCCAACUAAGACCAUCCAUCUUGUUCGUAAUUGUCGUUGCUUCAGCUCUACCGGUGAGUGGACGGUGGGCGGUAUGCUAAGCGGUCUGUGAGAGCCGCAAAAAACUCCCUUGCCUAGGUAAUCUUGUGAGCAAGCCAUGUCAAAAGCAGUACAUUGGAUUUGUUUCUUUCUUCAAUUGAAGGCUUGGGUUUGGCGGUUUUGCAAUGUGAAUUCUUCACUCUUUUGCCUCGCUAAUAAAAGCAACUUCCUUUUUCAAUUGAAAGUUUCAGUUCCCUAAUUUUGCAAGGUUAACACCUCGCUUUAUUUUUGCCUUUUGGUGGUUUUGCAGGCUGAGCCCUUCACUCCAUUUCCUCCUUGAUCAUAUUUUCUUUGCCGCACUGUUAUUUUCUUGUCACAAGACACGAUUUGCUUGUUCUGCUCUUCAUGUUUCUCCAUUUAUAAUUAAGGGCUGUAUUUAAGAUAAAUAAUUGAGAUUACUCAUUUUUGCUCGAUUAUGAUUGUAAGAAAUAUUGAUAAAAACUUAGUUUUGGUACUUUUGCAAGGUGAACUCCUUGCUCUACUUUUGCCUUGAUUUAUUUUGUCUGCUGUACUGCUAUUUUCUUACUGCUUGUCAGUUGUCUCUGGCUGUUAAAUUUCUUGGUUUGUAAUUAGAUUCUGUGUGCGAGGUUGAUUAUAAACUAUUAGUGUUAAAUUUCUUGACCUGCCUUUAGAAAAGCAACUGGAUUUGUUUGCCUGAAUUGGAGGAUAAGCUUUUGUUAAUAGUUGGUGCGAAGGUAGUAAUAAAUGUAGCUCUUUGUUUUGGUGCGAAGGUAGUAGUAAAUGUAGCUGUUAUGGUUGAACGUCUGAUUGCUCCUUUUUGCAUGAAGUCUACUUCAAUUAUAGCAUAAAAACUACUUUCCACAAUGCUGGAGCAAAAAGAAACAUAUGACAGUGUUAGACCCGAAAACAACACUCUUUUCUAGGCGACCACACAAUGGAGCAAUUGAUGAAAAAGCACAAGUGCUUGUGAGUUGAAAAAAUAAGCAAUAUACAGAUUUCAAACGUAACAAUAAGUAAAUAAAAAGAAAAGAAUAGCAAAUCAAUUAACUACCCACCUCCUCUUGAGCUUGUAGGUUAAUUCAACAAUCUACUUCAAGUUGAUGAAUUACAAUCACUCUUGUGUACAAAGAAAGGUUCACCUCCUCCUUGCCCCGAACUCCACUUGGUCAAGUCAGAACGUUUUACUAUCCCUCAGUACAACCCUCACAGAGUUACACUCAUGAAGUAUUCACUCACAAAUGAAAAGUUUACAAUGAAUCUCACACCACUAAAAUUACAAAUCUUCUUUGAAGAGUAUUUUCUCACUAAAAUCACUCUAAAUCUUUUGUAUUUUUAGUAUACAAAAGUUGUUUGAAGUAUCUGACCAACCACUAUUUAUAUAGGAUCAAAAAAGUGUCUCAAUAAUACUUCCAACGGAUAAAAAGUAGCUGAAGAGUCAACUAGCCGUUGAACUGUUGGAUGUCCGAUAGCCCUGUUUUAUGCGUCCGACAGCGGGCAGUGAGUUUAAAAGAUUUUCUUCAAUUCUUUCGGACGUCCGGUGCAAGCUUUUUGUGCGUCCGACAGCAAACAAAGAGAUUUGAGAAAUUAUUUUGUUUCUGUCGGACGUCCGGUAGAGACAUAUUCAGCGUCCGAUAGAUUUGUCGACUUCAAAGGAUCCUAUUGGACGUCCGAAGUAUGCGUCCGAAGUUGUGCAAUGAUUAUCGGACGUCCGGUACUGUCUUCUUGAGCGUCCGACAGGUUCAGCAUACUCUGUCUUUUUCAAAUGUGCUUAGUUUUUUAACCUGAUUUAUUUCAUUACUGAAAAAGCUUUUGAGGAGAUGUUAGCAACAUCCAUUUGUUUUGUAAUCAUCAAAAGUUAGGGACCAAGGUCAACAUUCUCCUCCUUUUUGAUGAUGACAAAACAUUGGAUGGGAGAAAGAAAAAAUUGAGCAUAUAUAAGCAUAAUCUCCCCCUCACACAAUGCAUCUAAACUUAUGAAUUCAGAAUAAUUCUCCCUUACACAUAAUAUCAAUUUCUCCCCCUUUUUGUCAUCAUAAGGUGAGAGUAAAAAUCUCAUACCGUAAUCCAGCAACAAUAACAGGGAAUCUAACAUUCCAAACAAAAACAGAGAAAUGCUACCAGAAAUCAGCAAUCACCAACAUACCAACAUAUCACAGAGAGUUUAACAGAUCAGAACAGUUUUUUCUCUCCUUUUUUUUGACAUCAUACAAAUUCAGUAAAAAAUCAAGAAAAAUUCAGUUCAAAGCGUCAGAAACAUCAAAAGAGAAUUACAAAAGGUAUUAUGAACAAGAAUCUCAUCAAUUUUACCAAUAUCUCCUACUUGUCAGAGUUAAUAUCAUGUCUAACUAUCCACAUGCAUUUCAUGCCUCUUCUCAUAUUUUUUUCAUAUAACAAUCACUUUUCAUGUAACCUUUUUGAUAACAAAAAUUACACAUAACCAAAGAUUAUUUACAUGAACAAAUUUAAUAAAUCUUACAUGUCUUCUCUUAUAAAUAGUAAAUUCAUUUGCAGCAGAAUUUAUCUUAAAAUGAGGUUUUGAUUUAUUACUUUGAAAAUAGUCUUAUUUUUUAUGCUGGAGCAACUCAUUUAAAUUAUCCAUUCUUUUUAUCAAAUCACCUUGUUCCUUUUUAAACAUUUCACAAAGUCUUAUUUUUUUUAUCAAGUUCAAAGUGUAAAACAGUCUCGCUCUUUUUUAAGAAAUCACUUUCAGUUUUCAGCUUUUUGUUUUCUUGAAAAAGACGUGUAUUGUCUUGAAGAAGAAAACUAAUCUUAUGUUUUAAUUCCGUGAUUCUAGCAUAAGAUUCUUUCAAACUAUCAUGCAAUUUUAUAAUGAAAGAUUCAAGAUCAUCAUCAGUUUCAUCAUCACUAUCAAGUUGAGAGCGACAUGUAGUUACCUCAUCAUCUCCAAUGGCCAUAAAAGUCAAUUGAACAGAUUCUUCUUCAUCUUCACUUUCACCAUCGGAGUUACACUCAUUCCAUAUGAACUGAAAAUUAUUGAAUCUUGAUUUUCUUUCAUCUUUCUUCUUCAUCACUGGACACUCGGUUGCAUAGUGUCUAGAUUGGCCGCAUUCAAAGCAUUUAUUAGUUUACUUUUUGUUGAACUCUAGCUUCCUUUUGUUUCUCAAGUUAUUGGACUGAUUCGGGAAGGAGUUUCUAGGUCCACCUUUUCUGAAUCUCCUCUUGUUAAAUAUUCUUUUGAAGUCUCGUGUGAUGAGUGCAAUAUUACUAUCAUCACCUUCCAUAUCAUCUUCACUCACAGAGGUUGUAUCAUUUUCAUCUUGUAAAGCAUUCAGAGCAAUAUUUUUUCUUACUUUUGUAUCUUUUUCUUCCUGCACCUUGGACUUGAAUUUUAGCUCAUAAGAAGUCAGUGAAUUAAUGAGAGAUUCAAUAGGUAAGGUAUGUAGAUCUUUGGUUUCCUCAAUAGCAGUCACUUUACUUUCCCAAUUCUUCGAUAAGGCAUUCAGAAUUUUUCUAUUUUUCUCACCUAAAGAGUAUUCUUUUUCUAGCACCUCCAAAUCCUUAAUGAGGUCAUUGAAUCUACAAUACAAGUCAUCAAUGUUUUCAUGAGGUUGCAUCUUGAAGGAUUCAUACUUUGUAACUAGAAUAGACUUCUUUUGUUCUCUAACAUUCUUACUACCUUCAUGAAUUUCUCUCAAUUUAUCCCAAAUUUUCUUGGCUGACUUGCAGCCUUUGACUCUAAUAGAUUCAUUUGAGUCUAAAACAUAAUAUAACACAUUCAUGACUUUUGCAUUUAAUGUGAGAUAAGCUCUAUCCGCAGCAGUCAGUUCACUUCUUAUUUUUGGUCUAGAUCUCUAAGUAUUUUCAUCUAUAAGAGAGGCAUCAUAUGGACCUUCAUUAAUAUUAAACCACAAUUCAAUAUCAAUAGAUUGCAAAAAAAUAAUCAUUCUUUCUUUCCAACUCACAUAAUUUGACCCAUUAAACAUAUGUGGUCUAAUAACAGAAUGUCCUUCAAAAAACAUAGCAUUGUUGGUUGUCAUCUUUACUCCAAAGCCGAUUGAGUUUAAUCUCUAGGAGACCAAACUCUGAUACCAAUUAUUAGACCCGAAAACAACCCUCUUUUCUAGGCGACCACACAAUGGAACAGUUGAUGAGAAAGCACAAGUGCUUGUGAGUAGAAGAGAUAAGCAAUAUACAUAUUUCAAACGUAACAAUAAGUAAAUAAAAAAGAAAGAAUAGCAAACCAAUUAACUACCCAACUCCUCUUGAGUUUGAGGUUAAUUCAAACAAGCUACUUCAAGUUGAUGAAUUACAAUCACUCUUGUAUACAAAGGAAGGUUCACUUCCUCCUUGCCCCGAAUUCCACUUGGUCAAAUCAGGACGUUUUACUAUCCGUCAGGACAACCCUCACAGAGCUACACUCAUGAAAUAUUCACUCACAAAUUAAAAGUUUACAAUGAAUCUCAUACCACUAAAACUAUAAAUCUUUUUUGAAGAGUAUUUUCUCACUAAAAUCACUCUAGAUCUUUUGUAUUUUCAGUGUGCAAAAGUUAUUUGAAGUAUCUGACCAACCACUAUUUAUAUAGGAUCAAGAAAGUGCCUCAAUAAUGCUUCCAACGGAUAGAAAGUAGCUGAAAAAUCAACUAACCGUUGGAGUGUCGGACGUCCGAUAGCCCUGUUUUAUGCGUCCGACAGCAGGCAGUGAGUUUAAGAGAUUUUCUUCAAUUUUUUCGGACGUCCGGUGCAAGUUUUUUGUGCGUCCGACAGCAAACAAAGAGAUUUGAGAAAUUAUUUUGUUUCUAUCGGACGUCCGGUAGAGACAUAUUCAGCGUCCGAUAGAUUUGUCGAUUUCGAAGGAUCCUAUCGGACGUUCGAAGCAUGCGUCCGAAGUUAUGCAAUGAUUAUCGGACGUCCGGUACUGUCUUCUUGUGCAUCCGACAGGUUCAGCAUACUCUGUCUUUUUCAAAUGUGCUUAAUUUUUGAACUUGAUUUGUUUCAUUACUGAAAAAGUUUUUGAGGAGAUGUUAGUAACAUCCAUUUGUUUUGUAAUCAUCAAAAGUUAGGGACCAAGGUCAACAGACAGGAUGCUUGUAUUCCAUUGGCAUUACAACUAAUUUAUCUGUCCAAAAGCAAGUAACAAGAAAAAUAUAGGUGGCUUUCUUGACAAUUAUUCAAACAGUAUCUUGCCUAACCAAAAAUGAAGACACUUGAAAGAACACCAAUAAGAGCAAUCACUUAACAUAUAUAGACAACAAAUCAAGCAUCUGGUGCUUUGUUCAUCAUCAACGUUAUUAUCUAUAACUCCCUUCCUGGUCAUUUUUCUCCUGACUAUUUCACAGGUACAUUGAUAACCACAAAGGGAGCAUAGUACUUUCCCGGCAAUUCUAUGAAUGCCAAGUACCACACAGAAGUUUGAACCACUACAAAACAGUCAAGCCAAGCAAUUCUGCAUUGCUGCAGCACCAAUGUCCACCAACCAUUAUUGGCACUGAUAGGCAGCAUUUCUAUGUGGUUAUCCUACGAUUAUUACAUGCUUUGUUUAGCUUUUGAUUUAAACUGAUUUAAGAAGAUCUGAAAAAAACUAGUAGGCAUAAAUAUGGAUACAGAUUAUCAUUCAAUCGGGAAAAAAAAAAGGAAAAGAAAGAGGCUUCUUCAUUAUUGGACUCAUCGGGUCACUAUGGUGCGCGGCCCCUAUUACGGGUUUAAGUAGGCAUUGGGCUAGUUACUUUUCAGUGAUCGAGCAGAGCUCAGAAUAGCUGGAAAGAGAACCCAUCACGGAUAAGCAAUUUCUAUCCUGACCAAUUUGACCAAAUAAUAAUAAUAAUCCUGACGAACAAAACGUUUUGAGUCCCACAUUACCUUUUCGUUUUUGUCCAUCAACAUGUUACCACUUAAGAAAGAAAGAAAGAAAAUUAAACAAAUUAAACACUAGAAACAGAAAAAGAAGAGAAGAAAAUGGGAACAAAAAUUGAGCAGUCACAUUUUUGUUAAAACAACUGCAUUUUUUUCUUUUUUGAAAGUAAAGAUAGACUUUGUCAUGAAAAAUAAGGUUUUUAAAUUUUGUUUUUUUUAUAUCAUCCGUCGUACGGAUUCUCUGAUAUAUGUUGAACAACAAUUCAUGACAUUCAAGGCAAGAACGUUAGCUGAAGGAUUAAACAUAGAAAAAUUUGGUCGAAAAGAAAGGAAACAUAAACAAGUAGAUCUUUCAAUCGCGAAGCUAAAAUAUUCACAUUGUUUACAACAAGUAAUAUUCAACAAGAAAAUUUUACAUCAUGGGCCAUCUUUUUCUACUAUAAAAGUGCUUUAUUUCUCGAGUCGGUUUUCGUCCUCCUUAUUCUACGGAACAAUGUAGACUGGUAGCUCCUCCCCUGGAGCUGCCCUUUCUUAUCCACAAGAAAAUGGUGCUACGUACAAAAAAGUCUAUUUCUUUAUAUGCAGCAGUUGUAUGAGUUGGAGCGGAGCAAUUGUCUGCGAGAAGCAAUGCACCAGCGAGUGUAGCAAUCGCGGAGGUUAGGCCAGUCAGAGGAUGGACAAUAGGUGAAGUGAUGGAGCCAGAGAGACAAUACUUUCUCUUGAUCCUCUUGAUUACCUAAUGCUUCUAUGACAUCCUCGAGCACUUUUUCUAGCUCAGCUCUUUCUUUUAUGCUCAGGACUGGUGCAUCUGUGC